rnacentral:misc_RNA from 1 species
GAUGAAUAACGCAGCGAAAUGCGAUAAGUAAUGUGAAUUGCAGAAUUCAGUGAAUCAUCGAAUCUUUGAACGCACAUUGCGCCCCCUGGUAUUCCGGGGGGCAUGCCUGUCCGAGCGUCAUUACAACCCUCAAGCUCAGCUUGGUAUUGGGCCCCGCCGACCCGGCGGGCCCUAAAGUCAGUGGCGGUGCCGUCCGGCUCCGAGCGUAGUAAUUCUUCUCGCUCUGGAGGUCCGGUCGUGUGCUCGCCAGCAACCCCCAAUUUUUUUCAGGUUGACCUCGGAUCAGGUAGGGAUACCCGCUGAACUUAAGCAUAUCAAUAAGCGGAGGA